UCGAUUAGUGAUUAUAGUGUUAUCUUAUUCUCGUAAAGGAUUUGGACGAGACGUGUAUGCCCGAAGACGUUCAGAAAGUCACGUGGUGUUACAAAGCGAAUAAGGGAUGAAUCGAGUAAGCGAAGCAAAGAUGUACGGUAGAUAGAGUAUAGCCAGAGAUGGUCUAGAGACUAUGAGAUGCAUAGAUUGUGAAAGUGGAAAGAUGAGAUUGAGAUUGUGAAUAAGGCUAAUGCUAGGCGAGGAGACAGAAUUGAGGAUCCAGUGGUCGAGGAGUGUUCAGGAAAGUUGAUGAGGUUGGUGCAAGCUAGAGCUGUGCUAUAGGGAUUCAAGUGUAAGUCAUAGCUGGAAUAGUUGACAGUGAUUCUUCUUAUCGAAGAUGAUCUGAUUUGGUAAGAAAUGUUGUGUAAUAUUAGUGGUGGAUUCUAAUUUCAAUACUGUAACCUAGAUGCGAUCCUGUUGCUUUUAGGGGGUUGAAAUGUUCUCUUUCGAAUCAAUUAUUAAAGUUUAAAUGUUCUCUUG
rnacentral:lncRNA from 1 species